rnacentral:piRNA from 1 species
UCCUAGGUCACUUGUUAAAACCAAGACAUC